AUGGAUAUCGCCAGCAAGUAAACAUCUAAACUUUAGAAGCGAAUCUGUCAAUUAAAAAAUCGUCAGCGUUCAACUAGAGUUCAUAACUAUCUAUUUUUUUAUUAUAAAAUAAUAGCAAUUCAUAUAAAGUUUCUUCUUCACUACACUUAAAAAUGUAGUUAAUUUCAAAAGGGGAAGUUCAUUCUCUUGUUAUGGUGCUCAAUUGGUUUCAUCCAUGUCGUUAAGGUUAUCUUUACUUUAUUGAUUAUCAUCAACUACAUUGUUUUGAUAGUUGAAUAAUAAUGAAUACUUUAAUGAGCGGAGAAUAUCCGAAAGUUUUUUCACUCUCAGGAUGAGUUGUUUUUUCCUUAGGCCCGUAAAAAUCGUCACUGUGAGACAAGGGAUUCGUUUCAGAUAUUGUGCAACUUGCACCGAUGAAAGAAGUUUUAUCUGAGCAACACUCUCUAGCUAUGUCUUUGUUAUUUCGUCGGUGGUGUAUCGGAUUUCGCUGGCCUUAAUCCCGGCUUUUGUUGUCAAGACCUUGCUCUCCGACGUCUCGUUUUUUGGAUUUCGAACUUUCUUGCAUAGUUUUCGUUCUUUCUUGUGACAGACUAGAACUAAAUCUGCAUACUACAUCUAUGCAUUUUAAUCAGGGUUGGCAUUUCUUCUAAUAGAAAUCUGUUUCUUAAUGGACGCUUGAUAAAAACCGCAUAACCGGACCGAAAAACUGCCAAAAAGCGGAGGAAAAAAAACUGGAAAGUCUGGCUGAAAAUCUGACGAAA